rnacentral:rRNA from 1 species
GACAGAGGGUGCAAACGUUGUUCGGAAUUAUUGGGCGUAAAGGGCGCGUAGGCGGCUUGGCAAGUGGAAGGUGAAAUCCCUCGGCUUAACCGAGGAACUGCCCUCCAAACUGCUUCGCUUGAGACCGGGAGAGGUGAGUGGAAUUCCCAGUGUAGCGGUGAAAUGCGUAGAUAUUGGGAGGAACACCAGUGGCGAAGGCGGCUCACUGGACCGGUACUGACGCUGAUGCGCGAAAGCGUGGGGAGCAAACGGG